rnacentral:ncRNA from 11 species
GUAACAAGGUUUUAUCCUAUGGAAGCCUUUGCAGCCCGAUGAAGGGUGGGCGCUCGCGACUAGAUAAAUAAUGACGAAUGCCUGAAAUGCAAGCGGCGGAACAUCUCUUUUAGGGUGUUUGGCCGCGAUCUUCUCAAAUUGCGGGAAAAGUGCUCAAAUUGGCCGUAAAGACACCGCGGCUCUUGUGGACAACACAGAGUGCAGCAGGCGGGGUAGCACCCUGCUGGAUGGUAACAGAUCUUUCGGACACGGGCCUAAUCCGCAGCCAAGCUCCGUAGCGCAUUUUUGUUAGUGCGUCGGAGAAGGUUCACAGACUGUAAGGGAAGGGGUUCGCACUUGUGUGCGGGCUUAAGAGACAGUCGGUCCCUCUGUGAGAGCAGAGUUCCGGGUUUGAGGAAGGUGCGCCGCCGACAAAUGGGCCACCAGAGAGCGCCUGGAGAGUCGUGUGUUUUGCGGGUGUUUGCGGAUAACUCGCGCGCGUGAUUGGCUUUUCUGAACGGAAUCAAAAAAUGUUCCGUAGGUGAACCUGCAGAAGGAUCAGAA